UACGUAGGGUGCAAGCGUUAAUCGGAAUUACUGGGCGUAAAGCGUGCGCAGGCGGUUAUGCAAGACAGAUGUGAAAUCCCCGGGCUCAACCCUGGGAACUGCAUUUGUGACUGCAUGGCUAGAGUACGGUAGAGGGGGGGAUGGAAUUCCGCGUGUAGCAGUGAAAUGCGUAGAUAUGCGGAGGAACACCGAUGGCGAAGGCAAUCCCCUGGACCUGUACUGACGCUCAUGCACGAAAGCGUGGGGAGCAAACAGG
rnacentral:rRNA from 1 species